GUGUGUGUGUGUGUGUGUGUGUGUGUGUGUCUGUGUGUGUGUGUGUGUGUGUGUGUGUGUGUGUGUGUGUGUGCGCGAUAUGCAAUCAUUCUCCAACGUUCACCUCUUCCAAAUUCCUGCUUGUUUUGCCCUCGCUCUUUGUCUUCUAAUUUAAACCUCUGGAGCCGAGGUUGGACACUGUAAACGAAAAAAAGAUUCUGUCUGUCUUGUAUGUGUUUAAGGUAGAGACCGAAGCCAAACAGAUGGAGGACGUGAGCAGCCAGAACACCCCCUUCCCCCUCCGUUCAACUACAAAGAGCCUACUGUGGGUCAUCUGCUGAUUGGGUGAUAAUUGUUAGGUCUGGGAAAAAAGAAAAAAAAAAUGGAUGACAUCUCUGAGGGCACGCUGACAUGAUGAUUAACACUGAACAAAUCCUUGACAAUGACCUGCAGCAUUUGGACAAAACUUCAUUUCCUCACGAGCAGACUUCCUACGGGAGGCGAGUGAAGCUCACCAGCGACCAGCUUUUCUUUGUUAUUUACUCGAUCGAGCGCGGGCCAUUUUUCUCUCUGUUUCUGCUUCUCCCUCUUCUUCUUCUCUUUCUCCCUCUUACUCGUUCUCCCCAUCUCAGUGCAUGACUUGGCUGGUGCAGCCGAGGCCCGGCUCAAUUGUGCAAUUUCAUACAUGUUUACUUUACUGGCAUCUUUCUGAGCAUAUUUUCCCCCCGAACAUUUCCCCUCACAUUAUUCUGCAUUUCCUCUACAACGAUAUGCUGUCUUUAAUCUCCCUUUGUGAGCCCUUUCUUGGCCCGAGGAUCAGAACACAAUAACCAUGUCAGGCUUUUCUUAUUUGGCCCCGUCAUCCGCCAUAUUUUAACACAUGCCACAAAGUUCUUUUUGGAAAUUGAUCAGGAGUUUAAAGAAAAAGAAAGUAGCUCUUCACGUAAACAUUUAGACAACUGUCUUCUUCAGCAUGAAAAGCAGCUGGAAGUAAGUGGAUCACGGGGGAGAGGAGGGAGGCGGCGGUGCGCCGUGGGUUGGCGGUUUGUGUGGAGUGUAAGGGGAGAGAAGGGACACAGAGAGGUGAGGAGGGAAGCUGUGCUUUGAGGUAACAAGGGGCGGUGAACGAGCGUAGCCAAGCCCAGCACUGGAGGGAGGAAGAGGAGGAGAGCGAAGGAAGCAAAGUGCCAGAGGAGAGGCAAUUGUGGGACUUCUAGGGGAUCAUAAGAGUCAUAAAAAAAUCACAAUACAAUGAUUUUUCCAGAAAAGUGCAGUUCGGGGAAGUAAAUCUAAAGCAGCUGCUUGUAAUAAAGACUCUUGAAAGUGUCAAAUCUCUCCCUUGUACUUCACCCUGCUACACUGUGGGAAAAGGCGCUCAGACAUGUAGAUGGACAGGUGCACCGCGUGGACACCUACACACUCACAGGCACACAAACUAUUGCAGAAUCAUCGCUGAAGGCACACUUGUUUUAAUAGAUUUUUUGGGGUUUCAAGGCCAUAAAAAAGUCUCGAGUAUUGAUAUUAUUUGGCUGUAGCUUACAUUUAAAAGGAGUCCUCUUAAAAAGAAAUAUGUACACUGGACAACAGUGGCAUGUCUGCGCUGUGCUCUCAUGAUUAACCACACAGAUAAAGGCUUUCAAAACAAGGCAAAGUCAAGGUUUGGUCAGGAGCUUAGCUCGACGACGCGGGCCGUGGAAACUACAAAGAUUGUCGCUGAGUUUUUUUUUGUUUUGAGCGUCUGCUAAGUGCUUCAGUCCUUUUGGCACGCAGCGCAAAAUACAAUAAAUGUCAAACAGCAGUACGAGCGCAGAUCAGGAUUAUUUGGCCUGUCAGUGUCACAUAGGUGACCCCGGCCUGCUACCGCUGGCAGAAAGCUUAGAGGCAUGCUUUGCAUUUUCUUUUACGUUAAACCCAUUUUUGGUCUACACAAGGCCACUGGAACUCCAUCUAGAUCACUUUUUAUUUCUAUAUUGUUAGUGUUAUAAAAGUUACGGGCCUGGGAUGGUUGCCAUAAAAACAUUAGAAAAGGAAUGAAGUGAAGUUAAAGAAAAAAAGAUCAAGCCACGUCUCGUUGCUGGCGGUUUGUCUCCCUGUGCUCACUUGUACUCGUUUUCAUUAUACGAAAUUAAUGCAACUAAUAAAUUUGUAUUAAUUUUACGACUUUCAAAACAUCCUCAUCGCAAAACCACUCUGGUGGCAGGGAGAGGUUUUUCUGGUUUGGUGUGUCGUAUAAAUAACAUUAACAAAGGCACAUGGCAUAAAACCCCAUGGGGUGAGCGGUUACACCAGCUAAUUGAAUCAAGACUCUUAAAAUUGUACUAAUUGAAUCAACCACAGAGCAAAAGAAAUACAGCCAGUUUUUUCUAAUUAUGAUUUACAUUACAUGUUCCCUUCAUAUUGAUCAGCUCUGCCCCGAGUUUCUAAAUAUAUAAAAUGUAAAUAUCUGGAGAAAAAUGUUUAUAGUGAUCACAUCAAGUUGAGGCCACAACAACCUCAAACUGUAACAAAAUGUCUGAAUGGCUUCCUCACCGCGCAGCCCUUGAAAGCCCACAAUGUCGUAUCACCGUGAUACUGAGCAGAGGUUUACUCCCAAAGAGCAAAAAAAAAAAAAGGGGGGGGGGAAGAGAGAUACAGUCUACAUGUUUUCUGAAUGGAGAGUUUUUAGAAGUACGAACAAGCUUUCAUACUGAGACAAUGGCUCGCGUCCACCCCGCUGCGUUCUCCCUGCUCCUCUCCCUCCCCAUUCUCCGUCUCUCUAUCUGCCUCUGAGCAGAAACACACGGCACAUCCUGCUCAGCACAACACACCAGCCAAAAGUUCACUUCCUGCUCCUCAGCUCUUCUCCUUCACACCAGCACUAUUCCCAGGACAUGCAUUAACGGCUCCUCAUUCGCCGCGAACAGCGCAGGGGACAUGCAAACAGACAAGCGAACGCUUCCCCUUUCUAUGGAUACACAAACCUCCCCCCUCUGUCUGUCACACACAUUAAUGCAAUUAAGCACAUUUCGGACAUUAUCUUCACUCUUCCCUCCUGCACAGAUUUGGAGUGACAGUGGAAACACUUUGUGUUAUUCUAACGGUGUGGGGCAGGGAAAGGAGGAGACAGAUUUUCAUUUAAACUCCUGAAUGAGAGGGAGUGAGGGGACCGAAAUUCCCACGACUGACAUCCGCCCACUCCUAUGUUUUUUAACACGUAUGCACAUGUUUGCGCAGCGAGCUCUUACUGUCAAUAAUGUUUCAUUUCAGCCGAGCAUUAUCCAAAACAGGCCGGCUUCCUGUGCGACUGACUCUCAUGCAAAGUUCACUAACCUCUGCAUGAAAAGGGGUCAAACAAUACGAGGCUGGUUUUUCAUGCGCGCCCAGAAAAAGCCACCGCUCGUCUGUGUGGGGAAGUGCUCAUAACACAUCAUCAACUUGUGCAGACAUUUCAAAACAUUACAUUUGUCACCUAGACUUUUUGAAAGUGUGGUUGAAAGUAAAAAGUCAAUGCCACUAUGCCUCGCUAAAGUGUGGUUCAGAAAUUCACCAACAGCCAGUUAAGAUACUACCAAAAUGACUUUGCCUUAUGUUACAAAAACAAUGGAAUUGGUCAGACCGACACAAGCCUCUUAGAGGACGACACAAUAAAAAAAAAAAAAAAA